UUCUUGGUCCAUUAGAGGAAGUAAAAGUCGUAACAAGGUCUCCGUAGGUGAACCUGCGGAGGGAUCAUUACCGAGUGUGGCGCUCCGGCGCCUCCCUCCAACCCCAUGUCGAAACGACUCUGUUGCCUCGGGGGCGACCCGGCCUUCGGGCGUCGGGGCCCCCGGUGGACACCUUCAUAACUCUUGCAUCUCUUGCGUCUGAGUGAUACAUAUAAUCAAUCAAAACUUUCAACAACGGAUCUCUUGGUUCUGGCAUCGAUGAAGAACGCAGCGAAAUGCGAUAAGUAAUGUGAAUUGCAGAAUUCAGUGAAUCAUCGAAUCUUUGAACGCACAUUGCGCCCCCUGGCAUUCCGGGGGGCAUGCCUGUUCGAGCGUCAUUACACCACUCAAGCCUGGCUUGGUAUUGAGCGCCGCGGCCUGCCCGCGCGCUCCAAUGUCUCCGGCUGAGCCGUCCGUCUCUAAGCGUUGUGAAUAGCGAUCGCUUGCGAGGCCCGGGCGGUUCGACGCCGUUAAACCCCCCAUUUUCUA
rnacentral:rRNA from 1 species